rnacentral:rRNA from 1 species
GAUCCGUGUAGUUUUCUUAACUGAACUAUCGGGCUGAAUGUGUGUUCUUAGUGGGCCAUUUUUGGUAAGCAGAACUGGCGAUGAGGGAUGCUCCUAAAGUUGAGUUAAGGCGCCAAAAUCGCAAUCAUCAGAUACCAUAAAAGGUGUUGAUUCAUUAAAACAGCAGGACGGUGACCCUGAGAGCAGGUACCCGCUAAGGAAUGCUUCCCGCUCACCUGCCGAAUGAAUCAGCCCUGAAAAUGGAUGGCGCUAUAUUGCGAUGCCGACACUCAACCAUUGUUGCUAACUUAUGCUUCAAUGAGUAAGAGGGCGUGGGCCUGGUGUCGAAGCCAAGACGAGAGUCUAGGUGGAACCGGGCUUAGUGCAGAUCUUCUUGGUAGUAGCAAUUAUUCAAAUGAGAACUUUGUAAGGCCGAAGUGGAGAAGGGUUCCGAUGAGAACAGCAAUUGGUCAUGGGUUACUCGAUCCUAAGGCAAGCCGGAAGCGGUUGUUAAG